rnacentral:rRNA from 1 species
AGUGAACGCUGGCGGUAGGCCUAACACAUGCCAGUCGAACGGCAGCACAGUAAGAGCUUGCUCUUACGGGUGGCGAGUGGCGGACGGGUGAGGAAUACAUCGGAAUCUACUUUUUCGUGGGGGAUAACGUAGGGAAACUUACGCUAAUACCGCAUACGACCUACGGGUGAAAGCAGGGGAUCUUCGGACCUUGCGCGAUUGAAUGAGCCGAUGUCGGAUUAGCUAGUUGGCGGGGUAAAGGCCCACCAAGGCGACGAUCCGUAGCUGGUCUGAGAGGAUGAUCAGCCACACUGGAACUGAGAUACGGUCCAGACUCCUACGGGAGGCAGCAGUGGGGAAUAUUGGACAAUGGGCGCAAGCCUGAUCCAGCCAUACCGCGUGGGUGAAGAAGGCCUUCGGGUUGUAAAGCCCUUUUGUUGGGAAAGAAAAGCAGCAGGUUAAUACCCCGCUGUUCUGACGGUACCCAAAGAAUAAGCACCGGCUAACUUCGUG